AAAAAAAAAAAAGCUUGCAAAAAGAAAGAGUAAAGACACUUUACAUCGAGAAGAGUCCCGAUUCGUGUCUGACGUCGUAGCGCUCCUGAUUCCUUUUGCCAAAGCCUAAGUAUCAGAUCACUCUCACUCUGCAUGGACAGUUAGAAGCACGAACUGUCUCAGGACGCAGCGGGAUGGGCGGAGGGGACAGAGAGAGAAGAACACCGGUGUUUGCCUCCGCCGGUCGCCCGCCGGUCCCUAACCCCGCACCAUCGCCUGCGGCACGAGCUGCUGCCCCGCAGGUUGUGUCCUGACAAUCUGUCCUUAAAAAUGGGCAAACUGUGACUCCACACUCACGGGAAUACAGCUGUGACUGCUCUGACUCCAUCACAGCCUGGAGAAUGGGAAGGGGAAAUUACUGCCAUUGUUAAUAUCUUCAAGACUCCGAAUGACUGCUGGGACUUUGGAGGAUAUUUAGACGUAGGAUGGAGGAGACACAGGCCUGUUCAAAGAGAUGCAGCUGGGAUUGGGAAAGGAUGGCCUGCUGUUCAAGAAGGGAAGAACUAUAUUUGCAACACUAUAUUUUAAUCUAAAUGUAAUACUGGAUUUCUCCACCUUGAGAAGCUUGAAGGCUUCUUUUUUUUUAACACAUCAUUCCUCAAAGAACAUACAGGUUGUAGAUUAUGCUAAAUGAAAUUAGUGAUGCUGAAACUAUCCAUUGCAAUGUGUUGUGAAAAACAUGUACUUCAAGUAAUUGUUUUGGACUUAUAAGCAUGUGGGCCAAAAUGAGAAUGAACUGGAAAACCUCCUUCUAAAAUAAUUGAGAGCCUCAGAAUUGUUUGGUGUUCUUCUUUCUAUUCUCUCUGGCUAGUUUCAAUCAUGAUAUUUGUAUUGAGAUUCUCUCUGGGAUUUGGAAUAUUUCUUGCCUUAUUUCAGAGCAAAGACAUCAGAUUGAUGUAGGCUGUAUCAUUUGCAGCUGUAUGUUAUGUUGUGUAUGAUAUGCUCCAAUCAGACUGUAGGGUGUUUUUAGAAUUGGGCUCCUGAAACCUCAUAACUCUCUUAAUUUCUUUCUCUCUUCUAUCUUGGAAGGCUGUGUUGUGCUCAUAUCCUAGUUACAUCACCAUAGGCCAAGGAGAAGCAAAUGGGGCCGUGCUCUUGCUUCAGCCUCUGCUUUAGAGUUUUGCUUCUGCUGCAUUCUGUGAAUUGUGAUAUGUAAACUUCUGUUGGCCAUAAAUCCCCAGUCCUGUCAGAAUGAAGGCAGAUCAUAAAAGGGAAAGGAAAGGUAGGAUGCAUAUUAAUGUUUUUAAGCUUUGCUGAAGACAUCUGGCCUGCGGUGAUUUGCUUAGAAGAGGAUGAAUUGUAAUGCAAACUCAGGAAGAAGUGGGAUCCUUUAAUGACAAGUGUCGAGUAUACAGGAAAUGUAUUGUUUAUAAGAGCCAGUGGAAUCAAAACAGAAUUAUAAAACCUUUCCAAGAUAUCCCUGAUGCUUCAAAAUGCUUUGGAGAAAUCUAUUAUAUUUGGAGAAUUUCCUCAGCAGGAAUUCUUCAUGUAAUCGAGUUUUUUCUGCAAAGUCUUCUGUUUUAAUAAAGAACUUCUUUGUAAUCCAAAGUUACAGUGAAUUAAGUGAAGGCUACACUGUGUUGUUUUGUCAGCAAAUAGACUGGUUUGUGUUAAAUGAGUGUGUUUGUGCCCUGUAGUGAAAGUUCCACGUUCCAACUUUUUUGUUGCAGAUGGACAUCAAUAUGAACCCAUAACUUUAUUCCUGUGGAUGAACACCUGCAGCCCUACAGCCCUGCUACCUGAGGAGGGACUCACUAACCCCAGGCAUAUCCCUGGUGAGCUGGAGGCUGGAAUAGAGAUAUCCAAGCUAGCAGACCUUCCAGCCAGUGUGAACUUCCAACGUGGCUCUGAAUGCAGCCCAGCCAUUUCUUGGGAGUGUGGUGCUGAGACUAAUACACCUGCUCCAGAAGAGUCUCUGGCUGUGGGUCCUGCAGAUGUACCUGGGGACAGAUUGGUAAAGUGAACCAGACCUGUGAUAUGUUUUCUGAAGGGUAACACUGGACUGAUUGAAUAUUCUAUUAACAGCAGCACUCGCUCGUUUUGAAAAUGAAAUACAGAGAAUGGAAAAUUGCUGAUUGCAGAAUACGUGGAGGUCAACUAUUACAGUCUUUGUGUGAAAUAAAUAUUGGAUACUAAUAAAUAAGUGAUGUU